GGAGUUAGCCGGUGCUUCUUCUGCGAGUAACGUCACAGAUGUAAGGUAUUAACUUACACCCUUUCCUCCUCGCUGAAAGUGCUUUACAACCCGAAGGCCUUCUUCACACACGCGGCAUGGCUGCAUCAGGGUUUCCCCCAUUGUGCAAUAUUCCCCACUGCUGCCUCCCGUAGGAGUCUGGGCCGUGUCUCAGUCCCAGUGUGGCUGAUCAUCCUCUCAGACCAGCUAGGGAUCGUCGCCUAGGUGAGCCUUUACCUCACCUACUAGCUAAUCCCACCUGGGCUUAUCCAUCAGCGCAAGGCCCGAAGGUCCCCUGCUUUCCCACGUAGGGCGUAUGCGGUAUUAGCAGUCGUUUCCAACUGUUAUCCCCCACAAAUGGGCAAAUUCCCAGGCAUUACUCACCCGUCCGCCGCUCGUCAUCUUCAAAAGCAAGCUUUUGAAAUGUUACCGCUCGACUUGCAUGUGUUAGGCCUGCCGCCAGCGUUCAAUCUGAGCCAGAAUCAAACUCUGA
rnacentral:rRNA from 1 species